rnacentral:rRNA from 1 species
CCUACGGGUGGCAGCAGUGAGGAAUAUUGGUCAAUGGCCGGAAGGCUGAACCAGCCAAGUCGCGUGAGGGACGACUGCCCUAUGGGUUGUAAACUUCUUUUAUAAGGGAAGAAUAAAUGCUACGUGUAGCAUGAUGCAUGUACCUUAUGAAUAAGCAUCGGCUAACUCCGUGCCAGCAGCCGCGGUAAUACGGAGGAUGCGAGCGUUAUCCGGAUUUAUUGGGUUUAAAGGGGGGUUAGGGGGUUUGUUAAGUUUAGUGGUAAAGCUUGGGGCUUUACCCUUAUAUUGCCAUUGAUACUGUAAGACUCGAGUGCAGACGAGGUAGGCGGAAUAAGUGGAGUAGCGGUGAAAUGCUUAGAUAUAACGUAGAACUCCGAUAGCGAAGGCAGCUUACCAGACUGCGACUGACGCUGAGGCACGAGAGCGUGGGUAGCAAACAGGAUUAGAUACCCCAGUAGUC